rnacentral:rRNA from 1 species
AGUGAACGCUGGCGGUAGGCCUAACACAUGCAAGUCGAACGGCAGCACCGUAAGUGCUUGCUCUUCCGGGUGGCAAGUGGCGGACAGGUGAGGAAUACAUCGGCCUCUACUUUUUCGUGGGGGAUAACGUCGGGAAACUUACGCUAAUACCGCAUACGACCUACGUGUGAAAGCAGGGGAUCUUCGGACCUUGCGUGAUUGAAUGAGCCGAUGUCGGAUUAGCUAGUUGGCGGGGUAACGGGGCAGCAAGGCGACGAUCCGUAGCUGGUCUGAGAGGAUGGUCGGCCACAUGGGAAGGGAGACGGGGUCCAGACUCCUACGAGAGGCACCAGAGGGGAAUAGGGGACAGUGGGCGCAAGCAUGGUCCAACGAUACCACGUGGGUGAAGAAGGCGUCCGGGUUGGAAAGCCCUUCUGUUGGGUAAGAAAAGCUGCAGGUUAGGACCACGCUGUUCUGACGGUACCCAAAGAAUAAGCACCGGCUAACUUCGUG